GACGAACGCUGGCGGCGUGCUUAACACAUGCAAGUCGAACGGUAAGGCCCUUCGGGGUACACGAGUGGCGAACGGGUGAGUAACACGUGGGUGAUCUGCCCUGCACUUCGGGAUAAGCCUGGGAAACUGGGUCUAAUACCGGAUAGGACCACUGCCUGCAUGGGUGGUGGUGGAAAGCUUUUGCGGUGUGGGAUGGGCCCGCGGCCUAUCAGCUUGUUGGUGGGGUGAUGGCCUACCAAGGCGACGACGGGUAGCCGGCCUGAGAGGGUGACCGGCCAGACUGGGACUGAGAUACGGCACAGACUCCUACGGGAGGCAGCAGUGGGGAAUAUUGCACAAUGGGCGCAAGCCUGAUGCAGCGACGCCGCGUGAGGGAUGACGGCCUUCGGGUUGUAAACCUCUUUCAGCACCGACGAAGCGCAAGUGACGGUAGGUGCAGAAGAAGGACCGGCCAACUACGUGCCAGCCGCCGCGGUAA
rnacentral:rRNA from 1 species